GACGAACGCUGGCGGCGUGCUUAACACAUGCAAGUCGAACGGAUCAUCCAGCUUGCUGGGUGGUGAGUGGCGAACGGGUGAGUAACACGUGAGCAACCUGCCCUUGACUCUGGGAUAACUCCGGGAAACCGGGGCUAAUACCGGAUACGACUUCCUCGCGCAUGCGGUGGUGGUGGAAAGGUGCCCUUCGGGGUUUCUGGUUGGGGAUGGGCUCGCGGCCUAUCAGCUUGUUGGUGGGGUGAUGGCCUACCAAGGCGACGACGGGUAGCCGGCCUGAGAGGGUGACCGGCCACACUGGGACUGAGACACGGCCCAGACUCCUACGGGAGGCAGCAGUGGGGAAUAUUGCGCAAUGGGCGGAAGCCUGACGCAGCGACGCCGCGUGAGGGAUGACGGCCUUCGGGUUGUAAACCUCUUUCAGCAGGGAAGAAGCUUCACGGUGACGGUACCUGCAGAAGAAGCACCGGCUAACUACGUGCCAGCAGCCGCGGUAAUACGUAGGGUGCAAGCGUUGUCCGGAAUUAUUGGGCGUAAAGAGCUCGUAGGCGGUCUGUCGCGUCUGCUGUGAAAACGUGGGGCUCAACCCCGCGCGUGCAGUGGGUACGGGCAGACUGGAGUGCAGUAGGGGAGACUGGAAUUCCUGGUGUAGCGGUGAAAUGCGCAGAUAUCAGGAGGAACACCGGUGGCGAAGGCGGGUCUCUGGGCUGUUACUGACGCUGAGGAGCGAAAGCGUGGGGAGCGAACAGGAUUAGAUACCCUGGUAGUCCACGCCGUAAACGUUGGGCGCUAGGUGUGGGUCCCAUUCCACGGGGUCUGUGCCGCAGCUAACGCAUUAAGCGCCCCGCCUGGGGAGUACGGCCGCAAGGCUAAAACUCAAAGGAAUUGACGGGGCCCCGCACAAGCGGCGGAGCAUGCGGAUUAAUUCGAUGCAACGCGAAGAACCUUACCAAGGCUUGACAUGCACGGUAAUCCGGUAGAGAUACCGGGUCCGCAAGGGAUCGUGCACAGGUGGUGCAUGGUUGUCGUCAGCUCGUGUCGUGAGAUGUUGGGUUAAGUCCCGCAACGAGCGCAACCCUCGUUCCAUGUUGCCAGCAACACGCAAGUGGUUGGGGACUCAUGGGAGACUGCCGGGGUCAACUCGGAGGAAGGUGGGGAUGACGUCAAAUCAUCAUGCCCCUUAUGUCUUGGGCUUCACGCAUGCUACAAUGGCCAGUACAAUGGGUUGCGAGACCGUGAGGUGGAGCGAAUCCCAAAAAGCUGGUCUCAGUUCGGAUCGGGGUCUGCAACUCGACCCCGUGAAGUCGGAGUCGCUAGUAAUCGCAGAUCAGCAACGCUGCGGUGAAUACGUUCCCGGGGCU
rnacentral:rRNA from 1 species